rnacentral:rRNA from 1 species
AGUGAACGCUGGCGGUAGGCCUAACACAUGCAAGUCGAACGGCAGCACAGUAAUAGCUUGCUCUUACGGGUGGCGAGUGUCGGACGGGUGAGGAAUACAUCGGAAUCUACUUUUUCGUGGGGGCUAACGUAGGGAAACUUACGCUAAUACCGCAUACGUCCUACGUGUGAAAGCAGGGGAUCUUCGGACCUUGCGCGUUUGAUUGAGCCGAUGUCGGAUUAGCUAGUUGGCGGGGUAAAGGCCCACCAAGGCGACGAUCCGUAGCUGGUCUGAGAGGAUGAUCAGCCACACUGGAACUGAGACACGGUCCAGACUCCUACGGGAGGCAGCAGUGGGGAAUAUUAGACAAUGGGCGCAAGCCUGAUCCAGCCAUACCGCGUGAGUGAAGAAGGCCUUCGGGUUGUAAAGCCCUUUUGUUGGGAAAGAAAAGCAGCAGGUUAAUACCCCGCUGUUCUGACGGUACCCAAAGAAUAAGCACCGGCUAACUUCGUG